GAUGAACGCUGACAGAAUGCUUAACACAUGCAAGUCAACUUGAAUUUGGGUUUUUAACUUAGGUUUGGGUGGCGGACGGGUGAGUAACGCGUAAAGAACUUGCCUCACAGCUAGGGACAACAUUUGGAAACGAAUGCUAAUACCUAAUAUUAUGAUAAUAGGGCAUCCUAUAAUUAUGAAAGCUAUAAGCGCUGUGAGAGAGCUUUGCGUCCCAUUAGCUAGUUGGAGAGGUAACGGCUCACCAAGGCGAUGAUGGGUAGCCGGCCUGAGAGGGUGAUCGGCCACAAGGGGACUGAGACGCGGCCCUUACUCCUACGGGAAGCAGCAGUGGGGAAUAUUGGACAAUGGACCAAGAGUCUGAUCCAGCAAUUCGGUGUGCACGAUGAAGUUUUUCGGAAUGUAAAGUGCUUUCAGUUGGGAAGAAAGAAAUGACGGUACCAACAGAAGAAGUGCCGGCUACAUACGU
rnacentral:rRNA from 1 species